rnacentral:RNase_P_RNA from 1 species
UGGAGAGGCCAGGUCAUCGCCCGGCGGCUGUGUUCGCCGGGAGGAAAGUCCGGACUCCGGAGAGCACGGCACCGGUUAAUUGCCGGCGGUCGCCCGGGAUUUCCCGGGUGACAAGAGAGAGUGCCACAGAAACAAGACCGCCCCGGUUUGGCCGCAGUGUCUACCGGGGUAAGGGUGAAACGGUGGGGUAAGAGCCCACCGGCCUUCCGGUAACGGGGGGCGUCAUGGUAAACCUUGCCGGGAGCAAAACCAAGCAGCGGGUGGGUUGCUCGCCCAGAGCCCGCGGGUAGGUUGCUGGAGCAAACUGGAGACAGUUUGCCGAGACAGAUGGUGACCCACGACAGAAUCCGGCUUACCGGCCUCUCUGCACG